AGGUAUCGCGCCUUAGUCAGAGGCCACCACAGUUGUGUUCAUUUUGUAGUAAAGUGCCCUAUGUUCAUCUUUUGUAUAUGAUGAUUAGUGAUGUAAAGAAAAGAAUGUAAUGUGCAUUUUGAGGUAAAUGUGAUGUAAGAAAGAAAUGAUGUAAUGAAUGUAAGAAUUCGAUAAAUUACUAGAUGAAUGCAAUGUAUAUGAUCUAAAAUGAAUCAUAUUACUUGUGAAUGUUUAGUUUCCUUUUUCUUUCACUUAUGGCUGUUGCUUACCCUCGUGUAAGCCGUUUGUGUAUGUUUCCGCUAGUGCUUUUCUCUAUUGAUGAAAAUGUGCAUGUGAUGAGCCUUGGGCGGAUAGGGGAAACUCUGUCCGUUCGGCGUCUGUUUGA
rnacentral:lncRNA from 1 species